ensembl:lncRNA
AUUUGUAUUCAGUUCUGUAUAAGAUCCAAAGCACAGAUCACAGCCUGCUGUUAAAGAGGAUAACGUCAUGGUUUAGGCUGAAUAUAUAGGCAGCAGUGUUAUUUUCGUAAUGUUCUUUUGUCAUUUUUAGUGUUUUUAUAAACAUUUUUAUUUAGCUUUCAUUUAUUUAUUUAGUUUCAGUUUUAGACAAUUUAGCAGAUGCCAAUGCAGCAUUUUUAAUUUUCAUUGACUAAGUUUUACUAGUUUAUACCUUAAACUAGCUUGAGUUUUAGUUAACAAUAACAACACUGGUAGUAAAUAAUCACGUAUUUCCGAGUCCUUAUGUGAGCUACUGAAGGAAAGGGAGUCUCAGAGGAGGAUGAUGAAAAGGUGAGUGCAGUUCAGCUCACAGCCACUAGAGGACACUGAGAGUCUGCUGGAUCAGACACUCAUGAUCGUGUGUGUCAGGACCAGUUAUUCUUACAUGUUUGUGUGUUUGUUUGUUUGUUGUAAUGAUUCUCUAUCUCUCUGUGGUUGCAGUAUGUUGAAGUGGAUGCUGUUGGUGGUGUGUGUGAGUGUGUGUUUGGGUCAGAAUCCGAUCAACACUGACCCAGCAGAAGAAACUGAAUCGACCUCUGAUCAGCACGACCGGGUCACACUCAAACAGACCUGUAAGACACACACACACACACACACACACACACACACACACACACAAACACAACAGUUGAUUAUGAUGCCAACUAUUUGCUAUUUUAUUCAUUUCUCUUCUCUGGUGUUUUCUGUUGUGUUAAUUUCUGUGCGGUUCUUAUUAUGAAUUGUUGAGUUAAGAUGAAGAUAUAUAUAUUUGGCUCCCAGAACAUGAUAGAGUAAAGAUGCUGUUCCUAUGAUGAAUUCAUUUGAAGCUUUACUGCUCUGUGACCUGUGACCUGUGUGUGUUUGUUUUACACUGACAGAUGUUCAUAUGAUGAAGAACAACAAUAAGCAGGGUGUGUUCAUCGCUGCCGCUAUAGGAACUCUGACGCUGAUGGCUGUGGUUUACUGCAUCUACAACCAGUUCUACACCAAAAACAUUUACUCACACGCUCAACUGCAUGAAUCAGAUAUCGCUCUGGAUCUGAGCAGCUCGUCCUCGUCGGUGUUUUCUGGUUAUGUGAUGGAGGGAUGGAUGCACCAGAGGAUGGAGAAAGGAGGAGGGAGUUAUGGCUCUCUGUCUGACACUCCUUCAAUUAUCACGCUCCCUUGUCCUCUUUCACCUCCUCAGCGUGCGUCUCCCUUUCACUCGCUCUCUCUGUCCAGACCGCCGCCUCUGAGGACUAUUUCAGCGCAGGAUCUGGAGAAGAGCUUCCUCUGAGACUGUGUCUGUGUGUGUGUGUGUGUGUGGUUGCAGGGGAUUGUGGGUCAGUUUACAGCUGUAUGCUAAAGUGAUGUGGCUCCUGACACCUUAUACGGCUUGCAAACACUCAAACCUGACCUUUAACCUCUCCAGAUCUGAACGCAGGGCUGCUGUUAAUAUGCUUGAUGUCACAAUCUUUAAAUAAUUAAUUUGAAUGUUCUGUUCUGUUCUCUCUAGCGUGUUCUAUUCAUUUCUUUUAGCUCUGUUGUUUUCUAUUUAUUUUCUUUGCUUUUAAUAUGCAGAAUGUAACAUUGCUUACAUAUUUUGUGAUUUUUAAUGUUCUCUCUGUUUUAUUAUUUUUACUUUUAUUUAAUAUAGUAGUCUAUUCUGUUCAUUCUUCCUUGUUCUAUUCUGUUUCAUUUGCUAUUAAUAUGCAGAAUAUAACAUUCCCUAAAGAUUAGAUUAGAAUAUUAUAUUCUAUUCUUUAAAGAUUUGGUUAUUAGAAUAGUAUGAACUAGAAUGGAAUGGAAAUUUCAAAACAAAUGAAAAAAGAAAAAACCCCGGGUUAAUGCAUUUGGUAUCAUGAACUAACAGUAAACAGUUAUUUUAUAGUACUUAAUAAAACUUACUGUUAAUUUCA